AUCCAGUGAUGAGAUUAUGGCAAGAUUUAUGAUCCAGCCAAACCAAGAGACCGUGGUUCUUAGUCUGCUGUCAGGUGGGUAGUCUUGGUAGUGUGGUGAAGUUUUAUUACUCUGCUGUAAGGGCCCACCUAUAGUCAAACUGUCACCUCCUACAGCCUUUGCCCUCCUAAAAGAAAUCGGACGGUAUAAAUAGGAGAUGCCAAACAGUGUGUGAGUGUUUGUUUGUAUUUUUGUAUGAAUGUAUACAUAACAGCUGACAAAAGGCCAUGGUCUCUGUCUACUUGGUUUGGCAGGUAUGAAUAACCAUCUUUGGUAAUCUGAGGAUA
rnacentral:snoRNA from 1 species